AGUGAGAGCCGGGGCGAAAAAGGGCGGAUUCGGGCAAAAGAGGGGAAAAAAAACCGGGGGGGUUUGGGGAAUAAAUGGUGGAAAAGUGGCGGGUUUUGGUGGUUUUUGGGGGGGUUUGGGGGGGUUAAGAAGAGCGGGAGAGGUCCGAGGGGUUUCUGGGUAAAAAAUCCGGGAGUUUUGGGGAAAAAAAGCCGAAUUUUGGGGCAAAAAUGGUGGAAAUUUGGGCAAAAGAGCCAAAAAAAUGGAGUUUGUGUGGAAAAAUUGGUGUUUUUUUGGGGGAGUUUAGGGGUUUUUUGGGUUUUUUGGGGGUGUCAGAAGGGCUGGGAGAGCUCCAGGAGCUGCCGAGAGAAUUGGGAGAAAAUCCGGGAAUUUUGGGGAAAAAACGGGGAAUUUUGGGGAAAAAAAUGCCGAAUUUGGGAAAAAAGAGGCAAAAAUCGGAGUUUGUGUGGAAACCUGGGGGAUUUUGGUGUGAUUUUGGGGGGUUUUGGGGGUUUUGGGGUGGCCCAGCACGACGUGGCGAGCUGCAGCGGCGCUACGGCGAGUGAGAGCCGGGGCGAAAAAGGGCGGAUUCGGGCAAAGAGGGGAAAAAAAACCGGGGGGGUUUGGGGAAUAAAUGGUGGAAAAGUGGC